rnacentral:ncRNA from 2 species
AUAAAUUUCAUAUGUUUGCUUCGUAUAAUGCCGGGGAUAUGGCCCGGAAGUCUCUACCAGGCUGCCGUAAAUAGCUUGACUACGAGGUAAUAUAGAUUGGUU